rnacentral:rRNA from 1 species
CAGCCUCCGCGGUUAUACGAGAGACCCAAGUUGUUAGCCCCCGGCGUAAAGAGUGGUUAGAUACUAAAUACCAAACUGAGGCCGAACACCCUCAAGGCAGUUAUACGCUCCCGAGGGCAUGAAGAACAAUUACGAAAGUAGCCUCACCCCCCUUGAACCCACGAAAGCUAGGACACAAACUGGGAUUAGAUACCCCACUAUGCCUAGCCCUAAACAAUGAUACCAAUAUACACUCCCCAUCCGCCCGGGUACUACGAGCAUUAGCUUAAAACCCAAAGGAACUUGGCGG